ACAUGCAAGUCGAACGGCAGCGCGGGGCAACCUGGCGGCGAGUGGCGAACGGGUGAGUAAUAUAUCGGAACGUACCCUGGAGUGGGGGAUAACGUAGCGAAAGUUACGCUAAUACCGCAUACGAUCUAAGGAUGAAAGUGGGGGAUCGCAAGACCUCAUGCUCCUGGAGCGGCCGAUAUCUGAUUAGCUAGUUGGUGGGGUAAAGGCCUACCAAGGCAUCGAUCAGUAGCUGGUCUGAGAGGACGACCAGCCACACUGGAACUGAGACACGGUCCAGACUCCUACGGGAGGCAGCAGUGGGGAAUUUUGGACAAUGGGCGCAAGCCUGAUCCAGCAAUGCCGCGUGAGUGAAGAAGGCCUUCGGGUUGUAAAGCUCUUUUGUCAGGGAAGAAACGGGUGGAGCUAAUAUCUCUGCCUAAUGACGGUACCUGAAGAAUAAGCACCGGCUAACUACGUGCCAGCAGCCGCGGUAAUACGUAGGGUGCAAGCGUUAAUCGGAAUUACUGGGCGUAAAGCGUGCGCAGGCGGUUUUGUAAGUCUGUCGUGAAAUCCCCGGGCUCAACCUGGGAAUUGCGAUGGAGACUGCAAGGCUAGAAUCUGGCAGAGGGGGGUAGAAUUCCACGUGUAGCAGUGAAAUGCGUAGAGAUGUGGAGGAACACCGAUGGCGAAGGCAGCCCCCUGGGUCAAGAUUGACGCUCAUGCACGAAAGCGUGGGGAGCAAACAGGAUUAGAUACCCUGGUAGUCCACGCCCUAAACGAUGUCUACUAGUUGUCGGGUUUUAAUUAACUUGGUAACGCAGCUAACGCGUGAAGUAGACCGCCUGGGGAGUACGGUCGCAAGAUUAAAACUCAAAGGAAUUGACGGGGACCCGCACAAGCGGUGGAUGAUGUGGAUUAAUUCGAUGCAACGCGAAAA
rnacentral:rRNA from 1 species